GAGAUAGGGUCCUAACCGGCCCGACCUCCAACCCUUUGUAGUUAAACAAACCCUUGUUGCUUUGGCGGGACAGCCGCGCAACCCCCCUCACGGGGGGCGGCCGGCCGCCGGUCUUCGGCCCGACGAGCGCCCGCCAGAGUCCAACCUAAAACUCUUUGUCAUAAACAGUAACGUCUGAGUAAAUUGAUAAAUCAAUCAAAACUUUCAACAACGGAUCUCUUGGUUCU
rnacentral:misc_RNA from 1 species